UCGCUUUCUGCUUCUUGGACGUUUCCUCCCUAAACUUGGCGGCGCAGCGAUGCGCCGCCAUUUUUUUUGCGCGCC
rfam:Acetobacteraceae bacterium SCN 69-10 ABS99_C0003, whole genome shotgun sequence.